rnacentral:rRNA from 1 species
ACGGGUGAGUAAUGUCUGGGAAACUGCCUGAUGGAGGGGGAUAACUACUGGAAACGGUAGCUAAUACCGCAUGAUGUCGCAAGACCAAAGUGGGGGACCUUCGGGCCUCACGCCAUCGGAUGUGCCCAGAUGGGAUUAGCUAGUAGGUGGGGUAAUGGCUCACCUAGGCGACGAUCCCUAGCUGGUCUGAGAGGAUGACCAGCCACACUGGAACUGAGACACGGUCCAGACUCCUACGGGAGGCAGCAGCGGGGAAUAUUGCACAAUGGGCGCAAGCCUGAUGCAGCCAUGCCGCGUGUGUGAAGAAGGCCUUAGGGUUGUAAAGCACUUUCAGCGAGGAGGAAGGCGUUGUAGUUAAUAGCUGCAACGAUUGACGUUACUCGCAGAAGAAGCACCGGCUAACUCCGUGCCAGCAGCCGCGGUAAUACGGAGGGUGCAAGCGUUAAUCGGAAUUACUGGGCGUAAAGCGCACGCAGGCGGUUUGUUAAGUCAGAUGUGAAAUCCCCGAGCUUAACUUGGGAACUGCAUUUGAAACUGGCAAGCUAGAGUCUUGUAGAGGGGGGUAGAAUUCCAGGUGU